rnacentral:rRNA from 1 species
GACGAACGCUGGCGGCGUGCUUAACACAUGCAAGUCGAACGGAAAGGCCCUGCUUUUGUGGGGUGCUCGAGUGGCGAACGGGUGAGUAACACGUGAGUAACCUGCCCUUGACUUUGGGAUAACUUCAGGAAACUGGGGCUAAUACCGGAUAGGAGCUCCUGCUGCAUGGUGGGGGUUGGAAAGUUUCGGCGGUUGGGGAUGGACUCGCGGCUUAUCAGCUUGUUGGUGGGGUAGUGGCUUACCAAGGCUUUGACGGGUAGCCGGCCUGAGAGGGUGACCGGCCACAUUAGGACUGAGAUACGGCCCAGACUCCUACGGGAGGCAGCAGUGGGGAAUAUUACACAAAGGGCGGGAGCCUGAUGCGGCAACGCCGCGUGCGGGAUGACGGCCUUCGGGUUGUAAACCGCUUUCGCCUGUGACGAAGCGUGAGUGACGGUAAUGGGUAAAGAAGCACCGGCUAACUACGUG